rnacentral:rRNA from 1 species
UACGAAGGGGGCUAGCGUUGCUCGGAAUUACUGGGCGUAAAGGGCUCGUAGGCGGCCUGUCGCGUCGGGAGUGAAAGCCCACUGCUUAACGGUGGGUCUGCUUCCGGUACGGGCGGGCUAGAGUAUGGCAGGGGAGACUGGAAUUCCUGGUGUAGCGGUGGAAUGCGCAGAUAUCAGGAGGAACACCGGUGGCGAAGGCGGGUCUCUGGGCCAUUACUGACGCUGAGGAGCGAAAGCGUGGGGAGCGAACAGG